rnacentral:lncRNA from 1 species
CUCGCUUUCCCUUUAUUCAACGGUCAAAAAGAAAGGUUUCAUUCAAUUAUAGUUUUAAUAAUUCAACAUCAUAAACAUAUGAUUGAAGCCCAAAAAGAACCAGAAAAAAUGAGAAAUCAUGAAGAAUGAGAAGAAAGAGAGAGAGAGAGAGAGUUGAGUACAACCAAAUCUGGUUUGCACUUUGCAACCAGAAGAUCUCAGAAGGUUAUUAAGAAAAAAAAGAGAAUUUGAGAGAACCCAGAUGACGAAUUUGUGAGAAUGACGAAGAAGAAACAAGUACCCUCUUCUUUGUUUUCUUCUCUCUUACCCUCUUCUGUGAGUAGUAGUAGUAGUGAGUGAUUGUCUUUGUCUUUGUUUUUGUUUUCUUCAGAAAAUAAAAU